rnacentral:rRNA from 1 species
AACCUCCGCAAUGUGAGAAAUCGCGACGGGGGGAUCCCAAGUGCCAUUCCUAACGGGAUGGCUUUUCAUUAGUGUAAAGAGCUUUUGGAAUAAGGGCUGGGCAAGACCGGUGCCAGCCGCCGCGGUAACACCGGCAGCUCUAGUGGUAACAAUUUUUAUUGGGCCUAAAGCGUCCGUAGCCGGUUUAAUAAGUCUCUGGUGAAAUCCUGUAGCUUAACUGUGGGAAUUGCUGGAGAUACUAUUAGACUUGAGACCGGGAGAGGUUAGAGGUACUCCCAGGGUAGAGGUGAAAUUCUGUAAUCCUGGGAGGACCGCCUGUUGCGAAGGCGUCUAACUGGAACGGUUCUGACGGUGAGGGACGAAAGUUAGGGGCGCGAACCGGAUUAGAUACCCGGGUAGCCCUAACUGUAAACGAUGCGGACUUGGUGUUGGGGUGGCUUUGAGCUGCUCCAGUGCCGAAGGGAAGCUGUUAAGUCCACCGCCUGGGAAGUACGGUCGCAAGAUUGAAACUUAAAGGAAUU